AAAUUCGAGAACUUUUAAUUUUUUGUUCGGACAUUUCAGGAAUUUUGCCUCAUAUGUAAAUACGAAAUAAUGUUAACCAACUGUAAAUAUGUUGCUUCAAUCAUGGUAUGGUCACAAUUGGCUACAAAUAGUAAUAAAAUAAAAUAAUGAUACGAAAAGGGAGAAAGGGAAAACUUAAUUUUUAGGAAUUAUUGGAAAUAAAUAAAAAUUAACUAUAAAAUCAUAAAAUAGUAAAAUAUAAAUUACAAAGUACAAUAUGCUUAUGGGAGGGAAGGGCGCGGGAACUAGGGAAGACGUCCCUGACUUAACCCAACCUUACCCUCCUCACAAUUCCCUGUCUCCACACUGUGCAUGAAUUGAGCUUUAACUGCACGAGAGCACGAGACAGCCUGCAAAGAUAUAGUUAAGACACUGCUUGGAAUUUGGAAUUGUCAGAAACAAAAUAAUACAUAGACAAUAAGUAAUAUAUACGAAUAUUACAGUAUCUAGGAUUGGCCUGAUUCGUCGAAGCCACAAAAAAGAAGAAGAAGAAGACAAUAGAACAAACAAACAACGCCACACCUGUGAAUUUUGCGGGAGAAAAGGACUUAAAGAGUCCGAGUGUAGCCACAAAAACCGACAAGAAAAUCAAUCGGCAAAUAAUGUGGAAUCCGCACAGUGUUUUUUCUCCGAAAAUAAAGUGCAGUGUAGCCCCUAUAGUGAUCUCUGGUGUAUCGACAGUGGUUGUAGUACUCAUUUAUGCAAGGAUAGAAGUGCAUUCAGUGAAAUAACGGAUACGAAAAACCAUCGUGAAACACACGAAUAGUACGACGACCCCAGUUGUAGCAGAAGGUAACGUAAAACUUAUAGUGGAUAAAUCGAACACUGCGACAUUAAAAAAUACCCUAUAUGCGCCAGAUCUUUGAACAAACUUGAUGUCGGUUGCUAAAAUAGUGGACAAUAAUUGUCAAGUGGUUUUCACGAAGAAACGCGUCACAGUCACGGACCUAAACGGCAAAAUAAAAUUGACAGCGGACCGGAUCGGAGACCUUUUCUACAUCAAGAACUCGGAAGAAUCACACCUCGCAUGCACGACAGAUCACACCAGGAGCGAUAUACACUCAAUAACAUAUAUAUGCUUUUCUUCCAGUUUGGACUCUUUUUGAAAAGUGGUGGAGCCUUCUAUAUGAAUGUUAUUAGUCUAUGACAUAUGAUGGAAUCAACAUUACCAUGUGGUUGACAGCUAACCUGUAAAUGUGGUUUCUUUUGUUAGUAGGAUUCUUCAAAAAGUUUUAAGCAACUUAUAUUCAAUUAGACUCUUAAUGUCACUUCAUUCGAUGUGCUCUUUCAUUUUAGCCUUGCCCUCUCGAUAAUUAGUAUUUAACAAGGUUGUUCACUUCAAUAUUUUUAAUUAAUUUAUUAUUAAAUUACUUUUGACAAUAUCGUUUUAAAAAAGAGAGAGAGAGAAAGUUACGAGGGUCAAAUGCGUCACAUACAUGAUAUUCAGGAUUAUGGACAAAGUCACCUAACAUCACUACGUGAUCAAUAUUACAGAACAGGUUAACCUUACGUAUGACGUAUGUAUUUUGACAAUUGUAGAAGUGGUUCUUGUGGCAAAAGUGAAUCAGCAGUAAUUGAUCCAAAAAAUAUUAAUUCCGCUGAUCUGGACAUUUAUUUUAAAGCAAAACUUCAAGAUAUUAUAUACAAUUAUAUAAAUAUUAUACAUUAACAGAAUUAUCAUCAAGUCCACGAGGACAAUUUUUCUUAGAAGAUAUUCACAUUAAUUGUAUUAAAUAUUUAUUAUUUAUUUAUAUACAAAACUAAAUUGAAUGUGAAGAAUUUCUUCAAUUAUAAAAUGUCGAUAAUGUAAACUAUCUGGCAUCUAAUUAAAUGGCCUUUAAUUCGCGAAAUACUUUUUAACAAUAAUUUGUUUUAUUAUUGUGAAAAAAAAUUUGUUGAGAAGAAAUUUAAAAAAAACAUGGCACAUCGAAUAAAAUAAAACGUUAUUUCUUGAUCCUCGCAAUUACGAAGAGUCCUACACUUAUGUUUCCUUGGUUAUAUAUAUUUCUUCUAUAAUGUCUUCUUUUUCAAUUUUAAUCAUUUUAAUUAUUGAUUUUGUUUAAUUUGAAAUCUAUCGAUUCGUGUAAAUUUUUUUAAAUUUGUAUCAUUUUAAUUAAGAUUUGUAUUUUUUUUGAAUUUUAAUUUUUAAAAAUUUGAAUUUUUUCAUUAUUUGCCUCGCAAAUCUACAGCGUGUAGUGUCAAAGCUUUUCAAGGUUUAUGUGAUGUUUGUGUUGUAACCACAUUUUUUUUCUUACUCUGGGCCACAUUGAAUAUAUAAAUAUACCUAUAUCAUUGAGAGCAAUUAUUC